rnacentral:rRNA from 1 species
AUUGAACGCUGGCGGCAUGCUUUACACAUGCAAGUCGAACGGUAACAGGUCCUCCGAUCCGGACGCGUGGCGCACGCGGGUGUGAUAUACCUGAAAGCGCCCGAACUAGGGGGGUAACGGACCGCAAGAUUCGCUAAUAUACCACACGAUACACGGGUGAAAGCGGGGGACAGCAACGGACCUCGCGCACGUGGCGGGCCCGAUGGCAGAUUAGCUAGUUGGUGGGGUAAAGGCCUACCAAGGCGACGAUCUGUAGCUGGUCUGAGAGGACGACCAGCCACACUGGGACUGAGACACGGCCCAGACUCCUACGGGAGGCAGCAGUGGGGAAUUUUGGACAAUGGGCGAAAGCCUGAUCCAGCCAUGCCGCGUGCAGGAUGAAGGCCUUCGGGUUGUAAACUGCUUUUGUAGGGAACGAAAAGAAUCGUGCCAAUAAAGAGGGUCGAUGACGGUACCGGAAGAAUAAGCACCGGCUAACUACGUG